rnacentral:rRNA from 1 species
UACGUAGGGGGCUAGCGUUGUCCGGAAUCAUUGGGCGUAAAGCGCGCGUAGGCGGCCAGAUAAGUCCGGUGUGAAAGUCAAAGGCUCAACCUUUGAAUGCCGCUGGAAACUGUCUGGCUUGAGUCCGGAAGGGGCGAGUGGAAUUCCUGGUGUAGCGGUGAAAUGCGCAGAUAUCAGGAGGAACACCGGUGGCGAAGGCGGGUCUCUGGGCCGUAACUGACGCUGAGGAGCGAAAGCAUGGGGAGCGAACAGG